AGGGCCUGAGAGUGGAAUGAGCUUGCUUCAGCGGAGUCAGUGAGAGGCCCUGGCGCCCAGAACAUGGGAGCAAGGGAGCGGGGCCAUUGUGAGAGCAGAAAGACAGACAGGUGCCGGGUCAGGUAGGACUCUGAGGACCGAGGGAAGGAGUUUGGAUUUUACUCUGGUUCAGGGAGAGGCCUUUGGAGGGUUUCAAGUAGGGGAAAUAUGUAAUCUGAUUUUGCUUCAAGAAGACUCCUCCAGCUGGCUGCUCUGUGGAGGAAACAGACGGACGGAAGAGAGAACUCAUCAAUACCUGCAUGCCACAGGAUGAUGCUCGUGGAGGACAGGAUCUGAAGUCAUCAUGAGGCAUAUGGAAGAAGCAGUACCAUCACCGUCCAGAUGAUGCUUUGUUAGAUGCUUCCCUCUCACCAGGUCCCUGCAGUGCAGUUUCUUGCCCAGGACAUUCCUGGCCAAACUGUGGGCUUGGAUGGAGGCCAAGCAGCUGAGUACGAGUCUAGAUAAGAUGGAAGGUGAUGUUGCUCAGGGGAAAACAGCUGGCUAAUGUCAUUCAGUUCAUCUUGGCUCUUCCACCUGGGUAAUUUUCCAUUUUUAUAUGAUUUCAAUAUCUGAUAUUGCAGCAUCCAGGAUUACUUUUGAAGCCUCAAAUAAUAGCUCAAAAGGUCAAGAAAGCAAUGUCAUGAUGAGAAAUGAUAUUAGAAGCAACACAUGCAUGAUCUUACGCUUGUGAGAGAACUUUGGUGUAU
rnacentral:lncRNA from 1 species